rnacentral:rRNA from 1 species
CAGCAGUGGGGAAUAUUGCACAAUGGGCGCAAGCCUGAUGCAGCAACGCCGUGUGAGUGAAGAAGGUUUUCGGAUCGUAAAACUCUGUCCUAAGGGAAGAAACAAAUGACGGUACCUUAGGAGGAAGCCCCGGCUAACUACGUGCCAGCAGCCGCGGUAAUACGUAGGGGGCAAGCGUUAUCCGGAAUCACUGGGCGUAAAGGGUGCGUAGGCGGCUUAGCAAGCCAGGGGUGAAAGGCAUUGGCUCAACCAAUGUAAGCCUUUGGAACUGUUAAGCUUGAGUGCAGGAGAGGUAAGUGGAAUUCCUAGUGUAGAGGUGAAAAUUCGUAGAUAUUAGGAGGAACACCAGUGGCGAAGGCGACUUACUGGACUGUAACUGACGCUGAUGCACGAAAGCGUGGGUAGCGAACAGGAUUAGAUACCCUGUAG